ACUAGGGAUCGGGCGAUGUGACUAUCUUGACUCGCUCGGCACCUUACGAGAAAUCAAAGUUUAUGGGUUCUGGGGGGAGUAUGGUCGCAAGGCUGAAACUUAAAGGAAUUGACGGAAGGGCACCACCAGGANUGGAGCCUGAGGCUUAAUUUGACUCAACAAGGGGAAAAUCAACAGGUCCAGAUACAAAUAGGAUUGACAGAUUGAGAGCUCUUUCUUGAUAAUGUAG
rnacentral:rRNA from 1 species